rnacentral:rRNA from 1 species
AACGUAGGAGACAAACGUUAUCCGGAGUUACUGGGCGUAAAGGGCGUGUAGGCGGCAACGCAAGUGUCGAGUGAAAUCCCAUCGCUCAACGAUGGAACGGCUCGGCAAACUGCGUGGCUUGAGGUCGGUAGAGGUGCUCGGAACUCUAGGUGGAGCGGUGAAAUGCGUAGAUAUCUAGAGGAACGCCUGAGGCGAAAGCGGGGCACUGGGCCGAUUCUGACGCUGAGACGCGAAAGCGUGGGGAGCAAACAGG